CUAAGAAUAUUCCGCAAUGGACGGAAGUCUGACGGAGCGACGCCGCGUGGAUGACGAAGGCCGAAAGGUUGUAAAGUUCUUUUGCUGGGGAAGAAUAACCGCAGGAGGGAAUGCCUGUGGGAUGACAAGAACCGGCGAAUAAGCCCCGGCCAACUACGUGCCAGCAGCCGCGGUAACACGUAGGGGGGCGAGCGUUGUUCGGAAUUACUGGGCGUAAAAGGGCAUGUAGGCGGCUUGGAAAGCCUGGCGUGAAAGUCUGCAAGCUUAACUGCAGGGGUGCGCUGGGAACUGCUGAGCUUGAGUGACGGAGAGGGAGCUGGAAUUCCUGGUGUAGGGGGUGAAAAUCUGUAGAUAUCAGGAAGAACACCGAUGGCGAAGGCAAGCUCCUGGCCGAUGACUGACGCUGAGGUGCGAAAGUGUGGGGGAUCAAAACAGGAUUAGAUACCCUGGUAGUCCACACAGUCAACGAUGUGCACUAGGUGCUGGGGGC
rnacentral:rRNA from 1 species